rnacentral:rRNA from 1 species
UACGGAGGGGGCUAGCGUUGCUCGGAAUCACUGGGCGUAAGCGCACGUAGGCGGAUUGCUAAGUCAGGGGUGAAAUCCUGGAGCUCAACUCCAGAACUGCCUUUGAUACUGGCGAUCUUGAGUCCGGGAGAGGUGAGUGGAACUGCGAGUGUAGAGGUGAAAUUCGUAGAUAUUCGCAAGAACACCAGUGGCGAAGGCGGCUCACUGGCCCGGUACUGACGCUGAGGUGCGAAAGCGUGGGGAGCAAACAGG